rnacentral:rRNA from 1 species
AAACUUAAAGGAAUUGACGGGGCCCGCACAAGCGGUGGAGCAUGUGGUUUAAUUCGACGCAACGCGAAGAACCUUACCAGGGCUUGACAUCUUCUGACCGCUUAAGGAAACUUAAGCUUUCCGGAAGGUUUACUUUCUGGACAGAAAGACAGGUGGUGCAUGGUUGUCGUCAGCUCGUGUCGUGAGAUGUUGGGUUAAGUCCCGCAACGAGCGCAACCCCUACGGUUAGUUGCUAACGGGUAAGGCCGAGCACUUUAGCCGAACUGCCGUUGACAAAACGGAGGAAGCGGGGAUGACGUCAAAUCAUCAUGCCCUUUAUGUCCUGGGCUACACACGUGCUACAAUGGCCUGUACAAAGGGCAGCAAAGGGGCGACCCGGAGCAAAUCCCAAAAAACAGGUCUCAGUUCGGAUUGCAGGCUGCAACUCGCCUGCAUGAAGGCGGAAUCGCUAGUAAUCGCAGGUCAGCAUACUGCGGUGAAUACGUUCCCGGGUCUU